ensembl:lncRNA
AUAUCCUUCUGGCUAAAUCCCAAAUGGCACCCUAAAUGACCAGUUCAAAAGUAGUGCACUUUAUAGGGAACAGGGUGUCAUUUGGGCCAAAUAUAGGAUAAUUUGACUGUAGCCUUCUGCGUUCAGCAGAGACCACUUUUUCCUUGUUGGCACUUUAUCUGUUGGUUAGUAGGUGUUAUUAUAUUAUUGAACCUCUUGAGCCAUACGCUAUUGGGUUAGUCAGACUGAUCAGCAAGUCUCAAUAAGGUGUUGGGAUCAACAAGUCUCAAAAAGGUGUUGGGUUAGUCAGGCUGAUCAACAAGUCUCAAUAAGGUGUUGGGAUCAACAAGUCUCAAUAAGGUGUUGGGUUAGUCAGGCUGAUCAGCAGGUCUCAAUAAGGUGUUGGGUUAGUCAGGCUGAUCAACAAGUCUCAAUAAGGUGUUGGCAUCAACAAGUCUCAAUAAGGUGUUGGGUUAGUCAGGCUGAUCAACAAGUGUCAAUAAGGUGUUGGGUUAGUCAGGCUGAUCAACAAGUCUCAAUAAGGUGUUGGCAUCUACAAGUCUCAAUAAGGUGUUGGGUUAGUCAGGCUGAUCAGCAAGUCUCAAGUCUCAAACACCUUAGUAAUAUAUUCUGUCCAUGGACUCAUGCUACUCAUAUUCACUGGGGUUGUGUGUCCCAAAUGGCAACUCAUUCUACAUUUGACCAGGGCCCAUAUGGGGGAUAGGAGGUCAUUAAUGACCGGGGCCCAUAUGGGGGGGGAUAGGAAGUCAUUAAUGACCAGGGCCCAUAUGGGGGAUAGGAAGUCAUUAAUGACCAGGGCCCAUAUGGGGGAUAGGAGGAAGUCAUUAAUGACCAGGGCCCAUAUGGGGGGAUAGGAAGUCAUUAAUGACCAGGGCCCAUAUGGGGGAUAGGAAGUCAUUAAUGACCAGGGCCCAUAUGGGGGGAUAGGAAGUCAUUAAUGACCAGGGCCCAUAUGGGGGAUAGGAAGUCAUUAAUGACCAGGGCCCAUAUGGGGGAUAGGAAGUCAUUAAUGACCAGGGCCCAUAUGGGGGAUAGGAAGUCAUUAAUGACCAGGGCCCAUAUGGGGGGGAUAGGAAGUCAUUAAUGACCAGGGCCCAUAUGGGGGAAUAGGAAGUCAUUAAUGACCAGGGCCCAUAUGGGG